CGGGAUACUUCUUUGUUAGACAAAACCUUUAAAAUGACGUGCAUAUCAAACUAUGUCUACAUUACAAUUUUUCUACUGACUCAUCGUGGACCGUUCCUAUAGAAGAAGAAUAAGUCAUUGAAUACAUCUUAAAAGCUCCCAGAUAUAAUAGCAUGCUGAGAUUAAGAAUUUUCUUCAAACCGUCUCUGAACUCGGGGAAUAUUAAGAUGAUCUUUAUAUUCAGGUCAGGUGCAAUGAUGCUGGUGCUUAAGCAAGCAAAGAUUCAGAUUAGUGGAGAUGCCAAUAUUGACAGCUCCAGAAUACUGUGAGAGGAUCCACUAUCCAAUAUCAACAGUUGCGGUUCAGAGAUUACGCGCUUUAUCAAAUAUUGGCAGACGCGGUACACCAGAUCAAGUUUGCCGACUCUGUGCUCAC